rnacentral:rRNA from 1 species
GAAGAACGCUGGCGGCGUGCCUAAUACAUGCAAGUCGAGCGAACGGACGAGAAGCUUGCUUCUCUGAUGUUAGCGGCGGACGGGUGAGUAACACGUGGAUAACCUACCUAUAAGACUGGGAUAACUUCGGGAAACCGGAGCUAAUACCGGAUAAUAUUUUGAACCGCAUGGUUCAAAAGUGAAAGACGGUCCUGCUGUCACUUAUAGAUGGAUCCGCGCUGCAUUAGCUAGUUGGUAAGGUAACGGCUUACCAAGGCAACGAUGCAUAGCCGACCUGAGAGGGUGAUCGGCCACACUGGAACUGAGACACGGUCCAGACUCCUACGGGAGGCAGCAGUAGGGAAUCUUCCGCAAUGGGCGAAAGCCUGACGGAGCAACGCCGCGUGAGUGAUGAAGGUCUUCGGAUCGUAAAACUCUGUUAUUAGGGAAGAACAUAUGUGUAAGUAACUGUGCACAUCUUGACGGUACCUAAUCAGAAAGCCACGGCUAACUACGUG